GUCCACGCCGUAAACGAUGGAUACUAGCUGUUGGGAGCGAUCUCAGUGGCUAAGCGAAAGUGAUAAGUAUCCCACCUGGGGAGUACGUUCGCAAGAAUGAAACUCAAAGGAAUUGACGGGGGCCCCGCACAAGCGGUGGAGCAUGUGGUUUAAUUCGAUGAUACGCGAGGAACCUUACCAAGGCUUAAAUGUAGAUUGACCGGUUUGGAAACAGAUCUUUCGCAAGACAAUUUACAAGGUGCUGCAUGGUUGUCGU
rnacentral:rRNA from 1 species